AUUGAACGCUGGCGGCAUGCCUUACACAUGCAAGUCGAACGGCAGCACGGGUGCUUGCACCUGGUGGCGAGUGGCGAACGGGUGAGUAAUACAUCGGAACAUGUCCUGUAGUGGGGGAUAGCCCGGCGAAAGCCGGAUUAAUACCGCAUACGAUCUACGGAUGAAAGCGGGGGACCGUCGGGCCUCGCGCUAUAGGGUUGGCCGAUGGCUGAUUAGCUAGUUGGUGGGGUAAAGGCCUACCAAGGCGACGAUCAGUAGAUGGUCUGAGAGGACGACCAGCCACACUGGGACUGAGACACGGCCCAGACCCCUACGGGAGGCAGCAGUGGGGAAUUUUGGACAAUGGGCGAAAGCCUGAUCCAGCAAUGCCGCGUGUGUGAAGAAGGCCUUCGGGUUGUAAAGCACUUUUGUCCGGAAAGAAAUCCUUGGCUCUAAUACAGUCGGGGGAUGACGGUACCGGAAGAAUAAGCACCGGCUAACUACGUG
rnacentral:rRNA from 1 species